rnacentral:tRNA from 2 species
UGGCGCGUGGCCAAAUGGUAAGGCACUUGUUUCUGGCACAAGGGAUUGUAGGUUCGAAUCCUACCGCGCCAGCCA